UUGAACUUGGAAGCCUGUCACUUGUAUUUGCCCAAAUUUCCCGCUUAUCUCUCAAAGCACUACAGUGUCAGUGAGCUCAUCUCGAAGGUUCAAGCCAUUUCUUAAUUAGGGCUUCUUUUGUCCUGUAAUCAGAAUGAAGCCAAGUCGCAAGCUCAAGAGAGACGAUAAUUCAUCAAAGCUGGUUUUGGAGGAGAUUAUUGGAUUGACGACCAAGGAUAGCAAUGGAUUGGCUUCCAAUAUCUCGACAUCCACAAUUGCCUAUUUGGCGGGUUCCGUGGUGGUUGUUUAUAAUGUCAAUUUGGGUACUCAGUCGCCCCUCAUGGUGUCUCAUCGACCGCCAAAGCGUUUGAGCUGUGUAGCUUUAUCACAGGACGGACACUUUAUUGCAGCUGGAGAGGCAGGGCGCCACUCCUCUGUAAUAGUAUGGGAUUCUGUUAAUUUAUCCUUUAUCUCUGAACUAAAAGGUCAUCUAUAUGGAGUUGCUUGCAUCUCUUUCUCACCCAAUGGUAAACACCUGGUAUCUGUUGGGGUGUAUAUACACCUUUGGGACUUUCGAAGUGGUGAGCUGGUUACAAAGCUUCAAGCAACUUCAUCUUGUUCUAGUAUCACAAGUGUUGGCUUUUCUUUGGAUGCAAAAGUUAUUGUAACUGCUGGGAAAAGGCACUUGAAAUUGUGGGCUCUUGGAUCAUCUAGGAGGACUCAACUGAAUGGAGGGAUGGGCAGGACGACAUCACUGGCAAUACAUGCAAAGCCUGCCAACCUUGCUAUUCAAAGAGGAAGCUCAUUUAUAUCCAUUGCUUCUUCUGUAUGGAGCAAUAAUUUCAAACAAGCGGGUGAUAGUUUUCCCCUUUAUGCAUUAACUGAUGCAGGAAUUUUGCACCUUAUAGAUUCUGGAUUGGCCGUCAAAAAGUCAGUGGAUUUAAAGGUAAAAAAAGCUUUUGCAUUAUCAACAUCAAGAAAGCUAAUUGCUUGUGCGUGCAACGAUGGAAUAGUCCAAUUCUUUUCCCCCGAGUCUCUAGAAUAUGCUGGAAGCAUAUUAUAUUCACAGGAAAAAAGGUUUCAUGAUGAAAAAGAUAUAGUUAGCUAUGAUGAAGUUGCUAAGCGGGACUUUCAACAGUUGCCUGCCCUGCCAGAUGCAGUUGCAUGUCAGUUUUCAGCCUUAGAAAAGCUUGUGGUUAUUUAUGGGGAUCAUACUCUAUACAUUUGGAGCAUCCAUGAUGUGCAUCAGGCUGCAAGGUUUUGUGUGCUAGUUUCACAUUCCUCAUGUAUAUGGGAUGUCAAAAAUCUAUGUUGUGAAAACAUGCAUGAUCCAUCCCUUGCAUGCAUUGCUAGAGGUUGUUCUGGUGGAAUUUCAUUUGCAACAUGCUCUGCUGAUGGUACAAUAAGGCUAUGGGAUCUUGCUUUGCAAUCUGAUUUACCAAAAGACACUGCAGAGCAUCACUCUAUAAAGGCUGAAUUAACAAGUUCUUCAAGUUUAGUAACUACUGGGACUUUUGAACAUGAAGCAGUUGAAGCAGAUGUUGGCAGGAAAGGGUUUCGGUCUCUUGCUGUUAGUACAGAUGGAAAGUAUCUUGCUGCUGGUGAUUGUGAAGGAAACCUUCAUAUAUACAACCUUGAAACAUCAGAUUACACGUGCAUUCAGAGUGCUCAUGGGGCAGAGAUCCUUGCACUGAGCUUUACUUUAUGCGGCCAAGACAUAUGUGAAGAAAUUGCCAAAAACAGUUGCUAUCUUGCUUCGGGGGGUAGGGAUUGUAUAAUUAAUCUCUAUGAUGUAGAAAGAAAUUUCAAUCUCAUUGACAGUAUUGAUGAUCAUUCAGCUGCUGUGACUUCUAUAACAAUUACAAGCAACAACUGCAAGAUCCUCAGUUGUGGUGCUGAUAGUUCGCUGGUGCUUCGUGACAUUCGGAUAGCAGAUUCUGGUUAUAAAAUUUUGCAGCAUCAUAGUUUAAAGGCUUCGCGUGGAACUGUUUAUGACAUGGCUGCAGAUCCAAGAUUGGGGAUUGUAAUCACAGUUGGGCAGGAUAAGAAGAUAAACACAUUUGACAUCGCUGAUCGAAAGCUAAUUAGGUCAUACAAGCAAGAUAAAGAUUUUGGAGACCCUAUAAAGGUUACAAUGGAUCCAAGUGGCACUUAUGUGGUCUGCUCAUCCUCUAACAAGUCCCUCUGCAUAUACGACAUUUUCACGGGGGAGAUGGUUGCAAAUGCCAUGGGACAUGCUGAAGUUGUAACUGGCAUCAUCUUCUUGCCUGAUUGCAAGCAUAUAGUUUCUGUAGAUGGUUAUGGUUGUGUUUUCCUGUGGAAAUUGCCUGCUUCUUUGUCUUCUAAAAUACUGGAGAAUAUAAUGAAGAAAAGUAAUUCAUUGUCUCCAAGAAGCUUAGCUCAAUCUGCUACUUUUUGCCGUCCACGAUCCUAUGGAGAGCAGUUGCAGCAAUCUAAUAUCAAUCCUGAGGAUGUCUGGUCACUGGGGAACAAUGGCCAAGGUAGCAAGAGAAUGUCUUAUCCAGGAAGCAGUUAUAGAGAGGCUAAAGCUUUUAAAUUUAGUGUUUCAAGACUUCCAAAAUGGGCACAAGCCAAAGUGAGCAGCUCCAAUAUUGUCUGCCAGAAUACAAACAACACUUUAUUAGAGGCCUAUUCCUUAUCCCCAGAAGUUACUGUACCGGUUGAUCAUGCUUCCUCAUCACCUGGGUGUACAAAAUCUCGAUGUCUUUCAAGGCCAGAAGGAACUUUCAGCAACUUUGCUUUGGACGACCGUUGGCUCUCUGUUUAUACUGUUUGCAUGGAUGCUUUGUCCUCUCCAGAGAUGCAAAGUUUAAUGGAUACAAAGAUAUCAAAGUUUUCCUCAAGACAAGAAGGGGCUGAGAUUAUAAGGGACCAAAGUUCUUUUGGGCAUGGUAGCCAUAUUAAACGAGAAAAACAGAAUCUUUUCUCAGACCAACUUGCAGGUUCCGACGGUAAUAAUGGAUCAUGUUGUGAAUGUCCUGAACAAAUUUCUGGCAGCACAGCAGAGCAGUUACAUACAGAUGGAUAUGAAAGUGAUUCAGAAGCAACUAAUGAGUCCGACUUACACAAUAUGCAUCCUGAAGAAGAAAGUGAACUAUUUAAGCAACAUUUUGGCAGUUUAUCAAAUACACAAAAGAUGGAGGCACGAAAAUCAUUAUUGCAUAGGUACUCUGCAAGAUUCGUUGUGCAGCAUCGUUACCCUGGGGGCUGCAAGGGACUAUUUAGCACUCCAGUCAGAAAUAUCACUGAUGAAACCAGUAACUAUGAGGGAGACACCACAGCUCAUACUAUGUUGGAAAAAGCAUCCUCUCAGAUGAUGGGAAAUGAACAAGUAAAAAUUUCUUUGGAACAGGACCUCAAGAAUUUGGCACAACGCUCCGAAAAUUCAGCAUGUGCAUUGACUCAACGCCCGGUCAAAGAAAAUUCGAUUGACAAUGAUCUGAGCGAGGACACAGAUAGAAAAGAAAGUCUUCCUAAAGAGAAUAGACCAAAGGAAACCAUAAUUGCAUGCAAGGAUGCAUUGAAUAGAUUGGAUUCUGCAGCUGAGAUUGCUGUGCAGUUAUUUUCAAGAUUAGAAAUCAGUAGUUGUGGAGGAGAGACUUCAGAAGAAGCUGGAGCUCAGUUAUAUAAUGAAGCAGCUGAGCUUCUUCCAUCAAUUAUUGAGAAAGUUAAUGCAGUUGCGAGGUUGGUUAGAAGUACGAAGAAUGAUUUGUUUGAUUCAAUAUCGCAUCGAUUGUAAGGGAAAUUUUUCUCAAGGCAGAUCAGUCAGGAUAGCCGAAAUGCCAAAGACACUAGCAUUCUGUUUUUUCUAGGUUUAUGUUCAAUUGGCUCAGUCGAACUCCUUUUGUUUACUUUGUUUGAAGUACCGAAAAAGAACCAAAAGAAAUAAAGUGCUAAUGGGCAUAGUCUACCUAAUGAGCAAUAACAUGACCCAAAAGUAAAGCAAAUUAGCAGCACUGAGGGCAGUAAAGGAUGGCAAAGGCGUUUGCUACAUGAGGAAAGCUCUUCCCAUUUCUAUCACUUUAGCAUUGAUUUCUUUACUCUUAAAGUUGAAAUAUAUUAUGAAAAAUUAGGGGGAGAGAGAAAGAUAAAAAGAAAGAGAUAAAAUCAACUAGAGUUGAAUUUAGUAAAAGGGUAAAGUUUUUGUAGGAGGGAAGGAAAGUUAGAGAGAUACAAAUUUAUGAGACCAUAAUUCAUUGGUAAUCUAUAA